CUUGGUGUAUUGUCAAUCAGGUAGACGGUCGGCUUUGGAAGCUGAAGGCUGUAGGUUCGAAUCCUACCACCGAGACCA
rnacentral:tRNA from 1 species